GAUGAACGCUGGCGGCGUGCCUAACACAUGCAAGUCGAACGGAGAUUACGGACGGAAGUUUUCGGAUGGAAGACUGUAAUUCUUAGUGGCGGACGGGUGAGUAACGCGUGGGCAACCUGCCCUAUACAGGGGGAUAGCAGCUGGAAACGGCUGGUAAGACCGCAUAAGUCGGCGAGACCGCAUGGUUUUGCCGGGAAAUGAGCAAUCAGGUAUAGGAUGGGCCCGCGUCCGAUUAGCCAGUUGGCAGGGUAAAAGCCUACCAAAGCAACGAUCGGUAGCCGGACUGAGGGGUCGGACGGCCACAUUGGGACUGAGACACGGCCCAAACUCCUACGGGAGGCAGCAGUGGGGGAUAUUGCGCAAUGGAGGAAACUCUGAUGCAGCGACGCCGCGUGAGUGAAGAAGUAUUUCGGUAUGUAAAGCUCUAUCAGCAGGGAAGAUGAUGACGGUACCUGACUAAGAAGCCCCGGCUAACUACGUG
rnacentral:rRNA from 1 species